AUGCUGCUAUGAAUCGCCUUUGUCCCAUGAUCCUGUGCUCACCAGUCCUACAAUUACCCUUUUCUUCCUAGACUUUAAAGUUGGGAUCAGACACAAGGAUACUUUGAUUUCUUUACCCUACACCAGCCACAGUAUCUGAUUUAAUAUAGGAGCUUAAUAUAACUUUAAUGAGGAGAUAAAUGGAUGAAGAAAGACAGGAGUGAAGAAAUGGAGUCACUGCAAAAAUAAAACAACAAAAGGAGCUUACCAGUGUGCAAGCCUCCGGAGCAGGGACAGGCGUUAGUAUAUUUUAUAUUUUUUAAUUGUGGUAGCAUACAAACCACAAGGUUGACUGUCUGUGCCAUCUUCAGGCGCACACUCAGGCUUCUCCAUCCUCAGUGCACACUCAGGUCUCCUCCAUCCUCAGUGCACACUCAGGCCUCCUCCAUCCUCAGUGCACACUCUGGUCUCCUCCAUUCUCAGGUGCACACUCAGGUCUCCUCCAUCCUCAGUGCACACUCAGGUCUCCUCCAUCCUCAGGUGCACACUCAGAUCUCCUCCAUCCUCAGGCGCACACUCUGGUCUCCUCCAUCCUCAGUGCACACUCUGGUCUCCUCCAUCCUCAGGUGCACACUCAGGUCUCCUCCAUCCUCAGGCACACACUCAGGUCUCCUCCACCCUCAGGUGCACACUCAGGUCUCCUCCAUCCUCAGGCACACACUCUGGUCUCCUCCAUCCUCAGGCGCACACUCUGGUCUCCUCCAUCCUCAGUGCACACUCUGGUCUCCUCCAUCCUCAGGUGCACACUCAGGUCUCCCCCAUCCUCAGUGCACACUCAGGUCUCCUCCAUCCUCAGUGCCCACUCAGGCUUCUCCAUCCUCAGGUGCACACUCAGGUCUCCUCCAUCCUCAGGCACACACUAGUGCCCACUCAGGCUUCUCCAUCACACUCAGGUCUCCUGCAUCCUCAGUGCACACUCAGGUCUCCUCCAUCCUCAGUGCACACACAGGCUUCUCCAUCCUCAGUGCACACCCAGGCUUCUCCAUCCUCAGUGCACACUCAGGCUUCUCCAUCCUCAGUGCACAUUCAGGCUUCUCCAUCCUCAGGUGCACACUCAGGUCUCCUCCAUCCUCAGUGCACACUCAGGUCUCCUCCAUCCUCAGUGCACACUCAGGUCUCCUCCAUCCUCAGUGCACACUCAGGCUUCUCCAUCCUCAGGCACAUACUCAGGCUUCUCCAUCCUCAGGUGCACACUCAGGUCUCCUCUAUCCUCAGGCACACACUCAGGUCUCCUGCAUCCUCAGUGCACACUCAGGUCUUCUCCAUCCUCGGUGCAUGCUCAGGUGUCCUCCAUCCUCAGGUGCACACUCAGGUCUUCUCCAUUUUAAGUGCACACACUCAGAUAUUUGUGUCUGUGUUUCCCUGAUGAUCAGUGGUGGUGAACAUCUCUGCAUGCGCUUAUCAGCCACGGGUGAUACCUUAUAUUUUGACGAGGGGUUGAUGGUAGUUAGCCUCAUAGAUGGGCGUUUGAACUUUGUGGUCAAGCAACUCCGCUGCUGUGUUUCUGCCCUGAGUGGCUUGUUACUGUCUCCUCGUUACAUAUUGACCAGCUGUCAGUCUGGUGCCUGGAGCUUUGCACCUGUGAGCUCAUCCGAUUCUCA
rnacentral:lncRNA from 1 species